GUCUCCCUGGCUCAGCCAGUAGAGCAUGAGACUCUUAAUCUCAAGGUCGUGUUUGAGCCCAAUGUUGGGCA